rnacentral:rRNA from 1 species
CUACGUGCCAGCAGCCGCGGUAAUACGGAAGGUCCAGGCGUUAUCCGGAUUUAUUGGGUUUAAAGGGAGCGUAGGCUGGAUAUUAAGUGUGUUGUGAAAUGUAGACGCUCAACGUCUGACUUGCAGCGCAUACUGGUUUCCUUGAGUACGCACAACGUUGGCGGAAUUCGUCGUGUAGCGGUGAAAUGCUUAGAUAUGACGAAGAACUCCGAUUGCGAAGGCAGCUGACGGGAGCGCAACUGACGCUUAAGCUCGAAGGUGCGGGUAUCGAACAGGAUUAGAUACCCUGGUAGUCCGCACAGUAAACGAUGGAUGCCCGCUGUUGGUACCUGGUAUCAGCGGCUAAGCGAAAGCAUUAAGCAUCCCACCUGGGGAGUACGCCGGCAACGGUGAAACUCAAAGGAAUUGACGGGGGCCCGCACAAGCGGAGGAACAUGUGGUUUAAUUCGAUGAUACGCGAGGAACCUUACCCGGGCUUGAAUUGCAGAGGAAGGAUUUAGAGAUA